GGAUGUGAGGGCAAACUGGCUGCGACAUCUGUCACCCCACUGGUAGCCAGGGUUGAUUCAGCUGAUCAGGCUGGCUGGGCAGAUGUAUCCAUCCUCUCUCAAUACUCCUGUGUGUCCCUCCGAAGCUGCAUGUUCGGUUGAAGAGGAUGUGACCAUCCCCAAUAGGGGAGGACCAGACACACAACUCUGAAGAGGGAAGGUUUACAUGGCUCACAGGCUCUAGAGGUUUCAGUCCAUAAUCGGCUGGCUCCAAGG
rnacentral:sRNA from 1 species